UUAUUACUCCCUCCGUCUCGUAUUAAGUGACUUUCUAUUAUAUGUAUCUAGACCCUUUUUAAGCAUAGAUACAUUCAUAUUUGGGCAAAUUUGAGUCACUUAAUAUGGGGCGGAGGAAGUAUAUG
rfam:Brachypodium distachyon strain Bd21 chromosome 1, whole genome shotgun sequence.